GUGUCAGUUCACUGAAAUAAAUAACAGGCAGAAAAAAAUAUACAUAAAUACACACUACAGAACAUGCAGGUUUCCAAUUAAAUUUGGUUUAAAAAAAAAAAAACAGCCAUACAAGCAAAUUAUAACACAAACACAAUAAUUGUUAAUAAUAUAAAGAGGUCAGCUCUGGGAUGAAAAUAAUUACCAGUAAACAUAACAAGUAAUGAGGAUAUUUGGUACCAAAGAAUGUGCAGGAUACCAAAUAAAUCGAGGUAUAAAAUCACAUUUUCAAGCCAUUUCGAACAAUAAGAAAAGUGGUAAUAAUUUAGAGUAAAGCUCUAGAGUAGAAUAGACCAUUGACCUUAUUCACCGCGCCUCCAUCUUGAAAUCCAAAUCGAGGCUAGGGGGUACACUCUAAACCGGAAGUUCAUUGACAGAGCGCAGCAGCGGGCGUCUGUCAUCAUGGCGAUACCUGUGUGGACAUCAAAUCUUUCAUGUCUUCCCAAAAUAACAGUGGACAAUGUUGAAAAAUGGGCCAAUAAGGACUGCAUGAUUCCCCAGGCUGUUUUGCUGAAAGGAUACAGCAACUGGAUCGAGGGAUAUGUGCACGACGUGGAAGGUAAUGCACAGACGAUCACUGCUUUUUUUCUGAAAUCAACAUUAGUUAACGUUACUUUUAAAGUUAGCUUGUUAGCUAGAUAAAACAGGACGUGACAACAUUACAAGCUGAUGCUAAGCAUUGUUAAGAUAUAUUAACCACACCAGACUGACUGUUAUUUUGAGUGUUAACAAUAAAUAAUUUUACAGACAGUCAAGAGGAGCGAGACAGUCAGUGUGAGAGCUAAGUCUUUUCACUCAAUGCGAAAAAACGAGGCACCUUACAACAUUCAGGUAUCAUGACUGUGGAUAAACUGCUCAGUUUGCAGAGUGGUGGCACUGCUAGAACAAAUACGCUAGCUAAACGUUCAACAGUUCAUCUUGAUCGUUCAUAUCAACAGUUCAUCUUUCCCUGCUAGACUAAAAAUAACAUGUUAUGUGCAGUUGAUGUGAUCUUUAGCUAAAAGUGUAUUGGAACCAUCAGUCAAAAUAGCUUGUUUCCAAUGUGUCACUACAAAGCAAGGCAGGGCGCUACUGUUGGUUAUUAAAAUGAAUAAAUAUUAAGUAUAAGUUAAUUUGUUUACAGGCAUGGGUUGCUCAUUUCACAUAGCGAUGUUACGUAGGGUUGGAGAAGGUACUAUUCAGGUCUCACAGGUAACACAGAUGCUAAAAACGAAUCAGUAAUGUCGUCUACUGAGAUGCACAAACCCAGUAAAAUGGAUGUUACUGUUUAUACGUAGUUGUGUGCUUAACAAGGUCUAGAUUAGCAAUGGUUAUCAUAAACAGGCACAGAUCACGUCUUGUUUAUAUUUUGCUGUAAGACAUGGCUAACCACGGCAGGACGUUAGCUGACCAGGCUAGUAAAAAGAGCAACAACUUGCUUAACGUUACCCCCGAAUCAGCCCUUCGCUUGUUAUAACUUAAAAAGGACCGGUUUGUGGCUAAUCAAGUCAUGUCUAUUUAGCCAGAAGGUUUAGCUUGACAGUUAACGUAAAUAUGGCUAACGUUAGCAUCGUAAACUAAUGUUAACAUCUUACCUUUAAAUGGCGACCGGGAUCUCUUCUUAUUUUAUGAAUCCAUUCACGGCCAAGUACAGGAUCUUUGGGGAAACGAUGGAAGGUUUGACCUGUAUAGGAUUUCUUUCUCUUUGAAGACGUACGUUUGGGAACACAAUAAUGCGGCGGCAUUGUAGGUAACGUUAUGACAGAAGUCUACAGAUGGGCGGGCCAACGUUACUUCCGUACCCCACAGCCUCGUUUUGGUUUAAAGGAAGUGCCGUAGGUUGAAAAGGCGAAUUAUAAUGGCAUUGCUGACCUGGAGCACAAGAUUUACACCGUGCUGCAAUAAGAUCUGUGUCUCUUGUAUCUGUGAUAAACGAAACUAGACAUACAUAUUUAUAUAAAAAUACAGAGGUAAAAACAGUACUAGAACAGACCAUUAUAACUGCAAUGCUGACCUGUGGCACAAGGAUUUACAAGUGUAGAUGUAUUGAUUGUAUAAGUUAGUGAACUGUUGUAAGCUGUUGUAACCAAUGAAACAAAAUAUUAAUUGUUUGUAAUAUGAGCUGAAACUGAAGGUGCAAGCAGGAGAAUAGGAAACCCUGUUCAAGCGGUUGCCGGGGAGAGAAAGAUUUAGUAUGUCUGUCUUUUGAGAAACAGUACACAGGUUAGAGACACACACACAUAGUCUGACAGGCAAGACAGAAACCAGAAGGGGACAAGAAGAUGUUUGCAUUCACCCUUAUAAGGAAUAGAACUGGAACUGGACCAAUAGCACACUUGCUUUGUGAACUUAACGACUCUAUCUUUUGGGCGUAGUGGAAGUAUAAAAUGAUCUGUUGACUGUUGAUCCUUAGACAUUGUGCGGCACCCUUGUCUCCAAAAGCUUUUGUAAUAAACGGAAUAUGCGGUACGGUAAUUGACCUGACUCCUGGUGUUUUAUUCUCCUUUCCAACAAACCAACUCGGGGAAGUGUUAGACUUCAACACAAGCUAUAUUUAACAAUAGAAUAACAGUUAAGCACUGUGAUGGAAUGAAAAAUGCUGAUGUUAAAACAAAAUAGAAUAUUUGGUACCUGGUAAUGUGCAAUAUCAAGUAUCAGAGGUAUGAAAUAGUAUUUCCAAGCUAUUAUUAAUAGAAUAACAUUUAAGCACACUGAUGAAAUGAAAGUAGAAUUUUGGUACUAGUUAAUGUGCAAUAUCAAGUAUGAAAUAGGAUUUACAAACUAUAAUAGAAUCGUUAAGACGGAAUGAAAUAAGUCAAUACUAAAGUUAAAAUACAAAAGAAAACAGGGUGGAUUUGGUGACUGUAGUCUGGCACUUCUGGCUUCUUGAUGUUACUUACUGCAGGAUAAAAAAAAAGUGUUCCAGUUCAGUGAUGCUGGGGUGUCAGUAGUAAGCCUAGGUUUAAGGGGUCGGCUGUGGGUCCUUCUCAGCUGUGCGGCGCCUUUUUCUGCCUUCACGGUCAGAUGCUCCUUUCAGGUAACGCACCUACAGGGGUUCCCAGAAUAAAAGAAUAAACUAGUCAGUCCUGGUCCCUCAAAUACUAAACUACGACAUUUAUAUCUAGGUCUACUACAUGUACAGGUAUUAAACUAACAACCACAGGUGUUGUUUGCAAGUUGUACCUGAUUGCCCAGUGAGAGCAAACGUCUUCAACAUUGUCCCUACUUGCUUCACCUGCUCUUGAAGUGAGCCGUGGUCAUCCGAAGCUACAAAAUCAAAGGCAUAUGGUAAUUCUGAACCUACAUUACACACAAAGAAGUAAAAUUUAAGAAAGAGUGCACAUUCUCGGUUUGCAGCCGAGUGUGAAGCGGUGGGGAUGAAAAUCAGUACCUCCAAAUCCAAGGCCAUGGUCCUCAGUCGGAAAAGGGUGCUUGCCCACUUCAGGUUGGUGGAGAGUGCCUGCCUCAAGUGGAGGAGUUUAAGUAUCUAGGGGUCCUGUUCACGAGUGAGGGAAGGAUGGAACGGGAGAUUGACAGACGGAUCGGUGCAGCUUCUGCAGUAAUGCGGUCGAUGUAUCAGUCUGUCGUGGUGAAGAAAGAGCUGAGCCGCAAGGCGAAGCUCUCGAUUUACCAGUCAAUCUACGUUCCUACUCUCACCUAUGGUCAUGAGCUUUGGGUCAUGACCGAAAGGACAAGAUCCCGGAUACAGGCGGCCGAAAUGAGCUUUCUCCGCAGGGUGGCUGGGCGAUCCCUUAGAGAUAGGGUGAGAAGCUCGGUCACCCGGGAGGAGCUCAGAGUAGAGCCGCUGCUCCUCCACAUCGAGAGGGGUCAGCUGAGGUGGCUUGGGCAUCUGUUUCGGAUGCCUCCGGAACGCCUUCCUGGGAAGGUUUUCCGGUCCCGUCCC
ensembl:lncRNA